UUGUGAAAGUCAGUAUACAGGAGUCAAAAGUAAUAAGAAAAUGCAUACUAUAUCUGUUCUUGUACUCUGUGCUCUUGUUUGAUUUUUUGUUGUGACAAAUGUGGAAGAAACCAUGGAUUAGAAACCAACUUGGGACUCUGCUUGCCAAUUAGGUUGCCAUUGGGAACGGCUUUGGAUGUAUUGAAAGGUCUUCCAACUCUCGUCAACAAGUUGGUCAGUAAGAUGGAGUAGAAAAUGAUUGCCAUCUUUUUCUGAAAUGUAAAUCAUCAAUAAAUAAAGUCUGAUUUAAUUUGCUUUUAA